rnacentral:lncRNA from 1 species
CCCCACCAACUCCCACACAUGCCUUCUGGAUUGUUUCGUCCACAAACACCAACCACUUGGAGGAUUCUGAACACUCUGGCUUCUCCACGAACUCGAUUUCCAGUUUGGUACCUACAGUUAUGUUUCCAAAAAUUCAAAUCAGUAAGUAAAAAAAAACAUUAUUACGACUUUAAUCCUAACGUUAGGAUGUGCUUUAAAUGGCUCUGAUACCAUAUUAAGAAGUGGACUUUAAGUCUCACUCAACCCCAUAAAACCUGCUCAUAGAAUUGAGGUUUGCAUCCAUUUAUAUAGAAUGAAAUGUCAAUCUCUAGUCGAUGUGGAAUCUCCAAGCGAUACCAUAUUACGAAUAUAUUACAAAGUAGACUUUAAACCUAACUAAAGUCAUUGAAAGUUUAAACCCACGAAUUCUCUUCAUUUAGAGUGGAUAUAAGAUCUCUGAAAUAGUUGUCAACAAAAAAUUCUUCCUACAACAACUUAGUGACUCAUAAUAGUGAGAGAAAAGUAAACUUUUAAGACAGUUUGAUAACUAAUUUCACUGUUCAUUAAUAAGUAAAUGAUAUAAAAGAUUUGAGGGGACUCGUGGUCUUGUUGCAUAUAAAUGCUGAAGUUCCCAUUUUUAUUUACUUUGAAGUCUGAAAUAAUUAAAUUGAUAAGGUAUUGAUGAGUACCAGUGAAGAUGAUUCCGGGGCUGACUCCAGGUAUGGUGAACUUCACGGGAAUGCCACGGAAGACUUCUAUGUAAUCUUGCAAGACAGUUAGAGCGCACUGUGAGUUCCCAGUUUGGCCAAGUUUCAGUCCACCACCAGGUGGGCCACGGAUUGCUGGUAAGAUGUAGUAUGUGAGACCUGGGAAAAUGGGGUUCCCAUUUACGUCCACAACUUGCUCAACAUCUGAGAAAGCUAAGGGAAGGUUGGUGAGGAAAGCAAGGAGAGGGAGGAGGAAGGAGAGGGCAAGAACUGCUGUGGCUUUCAUGGUUGAUUCAGAGGAAGAUGGUGCUGUUGCAGAUGUUCUGCUUCUGUUGUGGUGGACUGGUUUUGGUUCUUUAUAUAGAAACAGAGCACCACGUGCUUGUUCUUAAAAGAAGAUGACAGAGAAUUUUGAUGACAGAGAAAACAAAAACAAAAAAGAAAAAGUAAAAGAAAAAGAAAAUCUGAGAAUUGAAACAUGUUUCAGCAACAAUGUAAAACGAUGUUAAGAAUGGACAUAACAUCAAAGAUGUAUAGGAAGAUAAGAAAAACAUAGUAGUGAAACAGACUUACAUGACAUUUGUAACAUGUGACUAAAUUGUUUUAAUAUUUUCAAGAAAUUUUUUCUGGGAGGUAGUUUUUUCCCCUUAAUUUAGCAACUGAAUAUUAGUCUUUUAUUAAAAUAAUUAGAUUAAAAUUAAUAAAUUCUAGUGAUAAAAAUAUAUUUUUAAGAUAACUUGAUUUUUAAUGAGGAAAUAAUAAAUGAGUAAGCAUUUAUAGGUAGAGAAAUGUAAAGAAUUUGUAGCUCAGAUGGGUGCAUACAGUAUCAAUAAUGAUAAUAUACUUGUUAGAAAAAUAAUUGUGAAGCAAUCAUUGGUAGUUUCAUCUAUAAUCUCAAAUUUUGAAACAAGUUUUUUUUAUCAGAAAACCAAAUCUUUACUCACAAAAGCAAUACUUUUUGAAAAUCACUAUUUUCAAUAUUGGUUUUAACAGAAAAAAGAAAAAAAAAUAGAAUAAUCAAUUUUACUUAUUUAUAUGAUAUGAUGAUUUAAAUAUUUGUAAACUUCAUGGCAGAAUUAGAAUUGGAUAAGUUUACUUAUCAUCUCUAAUUAUACAUAUUAUCUCUUGAAGAUAAUUAUGAUCAAUUUUUUUAUACUUUUUAUUCUUUAAUGUUAUUCAAACCAAAUUAAUUUAAAUUCAUUUAUUAUAUAAAAAUAAAAAAUAAAAAAUCAAAGAGAAUAUAUAAAAUGUCUUAAGCCACGUGCUUAGUAGGUGAGAGAUUAUUUGAUCACGUGCAAGUACAGUAAUCGGAUAAGGAUGAAGUUGGAAUGAGUUAUUUUGGAAGUUUUUUUUUUUAAAAAUCGCAUUAUUAAAAGAAAAUUACCCAAAUAAUAUAUUACUCAUCAUAUUUAUCUAAAUAAUAAUAUGAUUUACGAUUGAUGUCAGGUUUCUCAAAAACCGAAGUCUAACUUAAUUUUUCAAUUUUUUUUAAAAUUAUGAAAAAAAUACAUAAUGAUAGUGUAAACUUUAUGACAUUAUCAUAUUUAAAAUUUAUUUUUUAAUAAUUUAAAUAAAUUAUUAAAUAUAAUUAAUAUUGAUAUCUUAUCACACAUGCAAUGCAAAGCAAGUAUAAUAGUUGGAUAAAAACAAACUUGCACCGAGUUAUUUUACUAAGCCAAUAAGGUAUGCAAAAUUGAAAUAUUUAUAUUGAGGUAUUUUUAUAACUUUAUUUAUAUUAAAUUAAGGACUCAUGUUUUAACUUGAUUGUUUAUAUUAAAAUAGAAAUAAAAAUGGAUUUAUUUGGUAAUUUUAAAUUAUAGAAACAUAUUCCAUAGAUAUUUGGUAGAAAGAACAAGAAAUUGACUUUGAAUUUUUAUUUUACAUCUUACACUCUUAGCAAUUCAAUGAAAUGCGUGUCACAAAAGAGAGCACACCCUUUUUUUAACAAUUAUAAAAGUUAUAAAAUAAUAAUAAUAGAGACAUUAGUGAUAAAUAAUUAAUGAGCUUUUGAUAAACACUUUUAUUUAUUUGUAGAUUAAAGUUCUCGAUCUUCACGAGGCACACAAUAUUAAAUUAUAAUAUUAAAGCACGUGCCGAGGAAUAUUUUAUGCUUCCCGUGGAACACGCACGACCUUCCUUCUAUAUUUUUAAAAGAGGGUUAAGAUAUUGUUUCUCUCUAAUAAAAUAUAUGUUAAACUAUAAUAUUAAAAUCCGGUAUUGAAAUGAUAAAUAUUUGAAAAUUAAAAAACCAGAAAAUCAUAAAUUAUUUAUCUGAAAUUUAAAAAGAUAAAUUAAUUAAAAUAUAAGUCUAAGAAUCCACCCCAAAAGAAACAAUAUGACCUCUCACCUUUCUGUUCACUACUUUGUCUUCUUUUUCACAAAUUUGGCAACCGCACCUUAUGCAAUUUGCAAUACCACCACUACAAAUUUCUUCUUUUCGUUAUUUUUCACUUGGCGCGUAUUUUGAAUUUUAAAAUGUCAAUCGCGAUGAGUUUCUAAGAAUAUAUAGGUUAUGAGAAAUAGAGACCCAUUCAUUUCUCAUUUUUUCUUUUCAUUUACUGAAGAAUAAGUGAUUCUUUUAUCAUUUUUUUUUUAUCCAUAUCAUACCUGUUCAGACGUGAUGCAGUUUAUAAGGUUUUUUUUUUAUUAUCAAAGUUGUUUGCUUUUAUCAUAUUUUUGGUGUCCCAAUAAUGCUUUUAAGAAAUAUUGAUCAAGCUAAUGGACUAUGUAAUGGUACAAGAUUUCAAGUUAAUGAGUUGGGGAAGAAUUUUAUCGAUUGUACAGUGAUUACAGGCAAAAACAUUGAUCAUAAAAUAUUCAUUCUUAGAACGAACUUGAUUCCUUCAGAUUUAGGACUGUCUUUCAAGUUUCAAAAAAGACAAUUAUCGAUAUCUUGUGCUUUGCAAUGACUAUAAAUAAAAACUAAGGUCAAACACUUUCCGAAGGUCUACUUUUUUUUCUUGGCCAAUGUUAUAAGCCAACAAUCUACAAAUAAUUUGUUUUUUAAUAAUUGUUUCUUAUUUGAAUUUGCAGGGUAAUAUAAUUGUUCUGAUCAUAUUUUUGCUUCUACUGCAAAAUUGUAAUAAAUAUAAUAUCUUAUCAAAAUCUUCUAUUCCUAUCUUUGCAUUUGGACAAAAUAAUACUUCUACUUUCUGUUUUUUUUUUCUCUAAGAUUUAAAACAUAUCUUUUAUAUAUUCCUCCUAUCAAAUUUACAUUUAAGUUAUGUGUAGCGGUGAUUGAAAUAUAUUGACAUUAUAACCCAAUAUUAUUCAACAACAAUUAGAGGUUAGUAUCAAAUAUUCAACAUCACUAUACCAUUUCUUACAUAUAGUAACAUAUUAUUUUCUCACAACACUCGUGCAUUAUUUUGUUUCUAUAUUUUGCUUUGUUUUCUUUUCUUCUGUUUUCACUUUCUCAUGUUUCAUAUACUGUGCAAUGCCACCAAGUGUUUGAUAAAUGCUUGAAUGAUGGUGACUGGUUCUUUCUCUAUUUGUUUAGGUUAUAUAUGGUUUUAUGAAUUGAUUACUAGACACUCAUUUAUUAAUUAAUAUAUGCGUAGCAUGCUUGUUGGUUGGGGUGUGACUGUGAGAGGGAAGGUGAGUGUGGGUUAUGACUUACCUUUCCGUUUCCUUGACAUAAUUGGGAGGUUACUUGCCACAAUUAAUUGUCAUCAAAUGGAAGUUUCUUACUACAACUAAUUGUCACCAAAGGGAGGUUAAUUACCAUUAAUUGUAUUUAUUAUUGUUGUCUCCUAGAACCACUAUAUAUAGUGGUUUCCUUCCAGCAAUAUAACAAACAACAACACAUACUUGCUUCCUCUUUAUUUUCCUAUACUCUCUAUUUCUGCUCUUGGGUGUAAGUGUUUAACCCAUAUAGAGAGAAUUUGUUUUGGGGCUAUUUAUCUAUUAGCCUGAGAGGGAUUCAUGGUACUCCCAGUACCAUUAUAGUGGAAGUUUUGGCUCUUUCGCCGAUGGUUUUUUAUCUUUAUUUAAAGGGGUUUUCCACCUAAAAAAUUUUGGUAUCAUUCUCAUUUUCUUUGUUACUCUAAUUUCUCAUAAUUUGGUUGAAAUUAUUACGCUUCUGCACAUGAUAUCCCUACAGUGAGAGAGAAUGCAGAAGGAUGGAAUAGUGUUGCGACGCUUUUGAAUAUCUUGAAGCUUUUUUAAUGGUUAAAGGUUUUAUUAACAUGAUUUUCUACUAAGAUUUACUAUUUUGGUUAAAUGUUUUAUUCAUUUUUUAAUGACAAUUUCAAUUUCAAUAAAAGCAUAGAUUGGAAAAACAACUCAUCAGGACUAUAAGGUACUGCCUCAAGCAGAGGAUUCCAGUGUGAAAUCGACUUGUAAUGGUGAAGAGGUAAAUCUUCAAGAGACUUUUGAAAAAUCUCAGCAAAUUACAAGUUAACGUAAUCAUAUAUUGCUUGGUAUCACGAUGCAACUUUAUGUAACUUUUUCUGUCCAAUCAAUUAUUAAGAUGGAAGAAGAUGAAGAUGUAGAGGUUAAACAAAAGGAAUGUGAUGAUGCAAAGUACAAUGUCGAUGAAGAACCAAUCAACCAACAUUUUAAGCAGCUAGAGUUAUUUCAGCUGCAAAACGAGAACGUCCAAGUAACUUGUGUCAGAAUAAUAUUAAAUAAUCAUACUUACAACAUGUAUAAUUCUAAUACAGUACCAUAUAAACAUGCAAUUAGAGCUAGAUUGAAUGGUUUGACACAAGAGUUUUCCUAGGAUUGCUUUCGUAAUGCACUAUGCAUAAGAUAAAGUAACCAAUUUGAUGUUGACAAUCCUUAGGAAUUGAAAAUGAUGGUUCAUCAAACAAAAAUAGGAAUGCAGGUUCUGCAACAUAAUUCACCUACGCAUUUUACCUAUGACCAAUCACUGACCAAUUAAAAGGUUGUCUCCAUUUUAAAAUUACUAUGUAAAAGCCUAAGGGGGCUCAAUGAUUCAUUCCCACAAGUAUGAACAUUUCAAUUCUGUUUUUUAUUUUACCUAAUCUCAAUUUUGUGCACAAUAUCUUGUAGUUUCUUGAUUCUUUCUUUCUGAAGGAUAUUUUUAUCCAUUAUUAAAAACCAAUUUCUUUUGAGACCUUUAUAUUAUUAUAAGAAAAUUUGGUCUCAUAUAAAAAAUUGUGUUUAGAUAAAUCUAAAAUCAAACUCUAGUUUUUAUUUUUCAAGAGUAUUUAUUUGAUCUUUAGUCUGGAACCAAAUUUUUUUCACAUGCAACUAGGUGGGGUAGGUACUUAAUUGAAGGACAAUAAUGUUAAUUAAACCAUGGCCUUAACAUGGAAUGUGAAAGAAGGUCCAAGACGACUCAAAUGUUCACUCACCUUCAAACCUCGGUCCUUGGUCUCUUACCUCAGGUUCAUCAAUCAUCAUCCAACAUUUCAUGUUUUCUCAAUAAUUAAUGCUACACAUUAUUUUCAUGGUUUUUUUUAGAGUUUUGGUUACAUGAGUUUUAUGCAUUAUGUCCACAUUGUGUUGAAGAUGAAGAUGAAAGCUUUCAUGUAUCAAAUUCACAUGAAGCCGGAAGCUGUGUGCUUUCUGGGUUCUGGGUUUGGGUUUAGAUUAAGUUGUUUAGAAUCUUUGUUAAGAUUAGUCCUUGAAGCCUACACAAAGCUUGAUUAAAUCUAUUUUAAGAAACUAAGUGUUGUUCCAAGUAAAGGGAAAACAACCGAUUGAUUUGUCGAAAUAAUCGGUUGUUUGUCAAUUAGCUCACUGGAAGUUUUGAAACUGCUUGACUCAUUCAACCGGUUAAAUCGUGGUCUCACCCGGUUAAAUAUGUGUUUUCAUAACAGUUUUUUGAAAACUUGUUUUAACUGAUUCAGUUGUUCAAAUCUGCCUUAAGCAAUUGCUUUUCAAAGGCUAUAAAUAAAGGCUUUCAUUAAAAUCAAAAGAUACAACAAAUACAACAAGUAUUGAUUCAGAUUUUAGAAAGAGAUUUGGUGUUUGAAAGUGCUUACAAAAAGUGCAAGAGUGCUUUCAAGCUUUGAUGUGGUGACAAGUGUUGAUCAUAGGAUCUCUGGUUCUGUAAUUCCAGGUGUUUUCUAUCCUUGCUUAGUGUAUUGUAAUUGUACUUCUUUUACAUACUUUUGUGUUUGAAAUUCUAUAAAGACAAAGGUUGUUCUGUCUUGAGGUGUGAAGUUUUGCAAAGAGGGUGAGUAGGCUUUGUGGGAUUCAAAGUCACCUCUUUGUGGUGUGUGAUUGUAAUCUGUGUUGAUUACUAGUGGAAACUUAGAGGUUUGUCUGAGAACUGGAUGUAGCUCAGGGAUUGAGUGAACCAGUAGAAACCUUGUGUGUAAAUCUCUCUUUCUCUCAAACUGUUUGAUAUUUUGCUGCUAUAAACAACCGAUUAAAACACAAUUUUAACCGGUUAAAAUUCUGAUAUCUAUUUCUUUUGGAUUGUUUGGUUGCCUUCCUUAAGUGCUUAUCUGAGUUGUUUGUUAAAUAUUCAUUCUAGACCAAGUAUUUGCGAAAAUCUUUGAUAAACAAUUCACCCCUCCUCUUGUUUAAGCCAUCAAUUCUUACACAUUGGAGGAGUUGAAGAAGACUAUGAAAGGAGUAGAAGGGUCCAUGAUUGAAUGUGGUAACAACAAUAGAAAUUGUUCAAUCAUGGUUACUAUUUCUGCUAAUGUUGCAUUCUUUGGUAUUCAAUGGGUGCCUCAACCAGGUUUGGUGACGCAAAUUUUAAAGGUGUUUUGCAAUCACAAAGCAUAGAUUUUGGCUACAAAUGUAGAAAUUGAUAUUGGCAAUCACAGUUUUGGUGCAAAAUAAUGGAAAGUGUGUGGUUGAAAAUAUUAAAAGAGAAAUUAUGAGUUUGUAGGAUCAAAACUCUUGCGAUAGAUUAUAUGGUGUUUGAUUUUGGUACCAUGUCACAGAAGAAGCUAACUUGAUAUAGAUCAUGAUUAGACAUUAGAAACUAAACUCUAACCUGUAUCAAUUUCAAAAAACCUGCAUCUCACUUGUCACUUAUAUGGUUUAAUUAGAUCGUAUUCAUAUAAUUAUAAAAGAAUUUAGUAUGAGAUUUGGAUGAAGAGAAAGGAAGGAAGAAAGUAGAAACUAGAGCUGAAAACUUUUACUGAGAUACAAUAUGAAUAGGUUAGGCCAAUUGCAUAAUUGGUGUAUUAAUUGGUUUUAUUUGUCUUACGCUAAUCUUUUUUUCUUUUAUGUGAUGGGCAACGAAGAAUACUGAUGGAAGAGAGUCAUCUCGUGCAGAAAUGUGCAUCAUGAUAAGCCUAAGAGUGAAACAAAUUAUUGUAUGUAAUCUCUAUCUUUAUCUUCCUCACCCUCAAUAGUUAUUCCUCAAAUAUUAAAUUUUGAAUAUUUGGUGCUUAACUGCUAUAUUUAUAUAAUGUAAAUUAAUUUAAUAUUUAAUAACGUCUACUACUAAAACUUUAGACAAACUUCUGUAAAUGGUACAGAUUGAAGACAUGUAUGAAUACUUCUUAACAUUUGUGAACUGUAACAAAUGUAUAUAUUUUUGGUGGAACUGAAGAUUAUAAUUAUAUCAUUAUGGAGUGUUGGUUGUUUGAUGCUGCAAAAUCUGUAUUAAAUUUGAUGUGGUAGAAAUAAUGUAGAAUGACUUGUUUGACAUAAAUAACAGUUGGGGCCAUCAAAGCCUCUUCAAUUGUAAUAUUGCUACUAGGAAGUUGAUCUUUCAAUGAAAGACCAUUCUUUUUUUGUGUGUGGAAAAUUGGGAGUAUGUGUUGGCCUUCUAUCUUUGUAAAUGUGCUCUUCACUGUUGUGAGGUUUUUACAACACACCCUUAAUGGAACAAAAAAUCCAUCUAUAAGUAACACAUUAAUGUCUCAUGCAUGAAUUAUUAUGUCCUUCAGAUACAAAUUUAUAGGGGCUACAAUUAUCUCAUUGCUUUAACCACAAAAUUUUCAUUUCAUCCAUCAGAAUGCAAACCACACUUACCUUGGACAACUUCAUACCAUAGAGUUAGUCUGUAGAGAAAAAUGCUAAAGUCACUUAGCUGCUAAAACAAUAUUUUAAUCUAGCAAAUCUCCCAACUAACAAGGUGACCUCUACUUAAUCCAUUUGAAAACAAUAUAUCUUAAGUUUUUAUAGUAAACAAUUGGUGCACGUAUGAUAGAAUUUUAACUAUUGCAAUCAUUUUAAAAACCAUAUCUAUCAAUUUUUUUGAGAUUUUUUUCAAAUUAAACUCAAAUUUUAAAAGGCAUAUAUAUGAGUAUAUGGGUAAAUCAUAGUUAAUAUCUGUGGUUGAUGAAAUUUUAUAAAUAUUUUUUCUAUUCUUAUUUAUGGCUAUCAAAUAUUAGAGGUGACAAAGUGAGGCGGACUGUGCGAAUUGGCCUGUGGCCCCCUGAAAAAAAUGUGGGCGGGUUGCUUAUUUCAACUCGCUGACUCACUUAGGUCCGCCCUACAUAACUCGCAGUCCGCACGGGCCAAGUGGGAGCGGGUGCGGGUUGACCCGCAUAACUUUAAAAUGUAGAAUUUUUUUUCUGCAUCGCCAUAUUUUCUUCAUGUAGCCUCAUAUUUCACAUUCCAAAAUUUUUAAUAACAUCUUACUAUGCAUGUCUCGUGAAAAUAAUAUUAUUAGACCAUUUACCUAAUUCAUCUAAAUAAAUAAAAAAUUAUUUAAAAAAAUAUUUCUUAUGCGGACUAGCUCGUAGGCCAACCCUUAUACGAAACAAACUAGAAAUCUUUGAAUGCAUGUUUUCAUCUGCUGAGCUCAAUGAAUUUCAAGAAAUAUCUGAAAAAUAUUGGGUUGAAAAGAGAAGACUACUAUUUUUUAAAACAUGUUUGGAAGGGUUUGUUGUCUUGCCUUGCUUGGGGUUUUAUGGCUCUAUCCUGAGAAUUCAGCACUGAGCGGGGGAAACUGAAGUCAAGGCUGAAGGAGCAUGAAGAAGCAUUGAAGGAUUUCAUUGGUAAGGGAAGGAUGAGAAAGCUCAGAAGCUGUGGUUGAGGCUGAAGAAUGAGGUUGCAACUGAACUAAAGGAGAGACGUUUUGAUGUUGAAUAAGUGUAUGCUUUAUAGUGAAUGGUUGUCAAUGUCAUUUCCAUGAUACAUGAACAGAUUGUGAGACUCUAGAUGUAGUAGACACUAAAAAUCUUAUGUAUGCUAGAUGAUAAAUAAAAGUGACAAUUUAUUGACAAGACAUGUCUAAAUUCACUUUCAAACAUUGAAAAUCCAUAGUGUUGUGUUGAUAGAUUUUUAUUACUAGUUUGCUUAUAGAAUAAAAACAUCAAAACAUAAAUUAUUAAAUUCAUGUUACAAUCCAAACCUAAGUAAUCUAUAUAAUUUUGUAAUCAAACAAUUUACUAAAUUUUUUAGUAACAUUUUUAUAAUGUUACUUUUUUUUUAUUAAAAAAUAUUAGUAACAUUUUUUAAAUGUGACUUCUUAAAUUUAGAGUGUAGGGAUUAGUAACAUUUUUAUAAUGUUACUCUCUUUCCAAAAAAAUAUUACUAAAAAAAAUUAAUAACAUUUUUAAAAUGUUAUUUAUUUAUUAAAAAAAGUUACUAACCUUUUCAUAAUAUUAAUUUUUUUUAUUAAAAAGUAUUACUAAAAAGAUUGAAUAACAUUUUUAAAAUGACAUAUUUUAUUAAAAAAAUUACUAAAAAUAAUUAGUAACAUUUUUAUAAUGUCACUUUAAUAUUAAAAAAAGUUAAUAAAGAUUUAUAGUAACAUUUUUAUAAUAUUUUUUUUUUUAAAAUUACUCAAACAAUUUAGUAACAUUUUAAAAAUGUUAUUUUUUUAUUAAAUAAAUAUUACUAAAAAUAUUUAAUGACAUUUUUAUAAAUGUAUUUAUUCAAAUAUAAAAGUAUUACUAAAAGUAUUUAGUUAUAUAAAAUAUUUGUUACAUUGAAUAAAAUUACUAAAUCAUAUUAGUAAUUUUUUUAUAUUUAAUAACAUUUUCUUUAUUUAAUAACAUUUUUUUAAUGUUACUAAUUAUCAUAUCUAGUAUUACCAUAACUUUACAAAAAGAAAUCAAUUUAAUCCUUUAUCAUAUUAAAUAGAUUCUCUACCAAAAAUGUUUUCCUGCCGAUUUAUAAUUAAUUUUGUUAAUAAUAUAAAAUAGUAAUAGUUAAAAACGGAUAGAAAAAAAGUUCUUAUAUUUUUCUCUAGACAUAAUUACAUUUUUAAUCAUCAUUAUAAUUAGAAAGAUAAGAAAAACCUCCUCUAUUCAAACAACCUUUUCUUUUUUUUUCUUAACCUCCAAAAUCUAUAUAUAUAUAUAUAUAUAUAUAUAUAUAUACACACUCAUUUUUAACAUUUUUUUUAAAUCGUUUGGUCAUAUUGUGUUUAUAAAAUCAAUCUUGAAAGGUUUAUAAAGUUAAAAAUGUGUAAUUAAGUUUUGAGUUCCAUUUAAAUUCAAGAACUACCAAAAAGAAAUCCAGGUAUUAUUAAUUUAAAUUUAAAGAUGUCAUAUUAAGGAAACUUCAUAGUCUUUGUUUACUUCGACUAUUUCAACUCCAAGAAAUUGGAUAUUUCAAAAUUCUCUAGAUUCAAACUACGGACUUAAUAACCUUAUCAGCUUCAAAAACCUUUACGAACACUAAAUCGAAGGCUUCAUGCUCAGUGAGAUUCAACCGUCUUCCAUCCUCACCGUUCUCUGCAUCAAACCUCCCAAUAUCCAAACAAGUUGGUGAACCAGUGAUGCAGAACACAAGCUUGUACCCAAAAUGGUAGUUCUCAAUAUGAAAUCUAGUCGAUAUGGGAUCUCCAACCCACCCCGCGUGCAAGGGACAACAUGUUAUGGGUGGGGUUUUUUCUUCCUGCACCCCCACGUUUUUCUUUCUGCACCCCACAAUUCUAAAUAUUCCUAAAGUACCCUUGAUCUAUAAUUUGAAAAGGGCACUCUCCUGGACUUGCAUUGUAGCAGUUCAUCUUCAUCACUGAAAUAUCAACUCCUGGACCUAUACUGGGAUUUUACCACACCGCAGGUUUAGCAUUCAGUUCUUAUAGAUAAAACAUUGCAGUUAUACAUCUUUCCCAUUUUACUUAUGAUGUAUUUCUUAUUCAUCUAUGUAAUUUAACUAUUUUUCAAAUGCAGAUUCUGACAAUGGAGUAUGUUCCGGGGAUUAAAAUAAAUAAAACACAAGCUUUAAAUGAACUUGGUAUUGAUCGCAAAAGGUUAAUCUCAUAUGAAUUUCUUCAAGCCAAGUUACUAUUGACAUUUUCCCUUCUACUUCUGUGAAUUUUAGGAAUUGAUGAUGGCUUUUGAAAUUCAAAAAUAACAUAAUGUAUACUUUAUCUUCUACAGGUUAGGGCGAUAUGCAGGGGAUUCUUAUUUGGAGCAGAUUUUUAUCACAUGGUUUCUUCCAUGCUGACUCUUCUUGUUCUUAGAAUUGUUGAGUUGUCUCAUGACUUAUCUUGUUUGAAUAAGGGAGAAGAGAUUGGCUGGAAAUACUUAUCUCCCAUGUUGGAUUCCAAGUACACACUUUGCAUGCUAUAUACUUAACUUUUGAUUUAAUCAUAUCAUAUUGCAUAAAAUAAGAGAACAAGUAAGAACUUGCACAAUAGAAGGGUGGCAAAGAAGCUUUGCAUAAAAUAUUGUUACAUUCCCUUUUCAGCUCAAAUAGAAACUGAUUUGAUCUUUGGCUGUUUUUUGUACUGCACUUAGCAUUGGAAAACAUUAUGAUAAUUGUGAAGUUUGAAAAAGAUUUAUAAACAGGGAGUUCUAAUAAUUUGUUUUGCCAGUUAACAUCAAAUGUUCAUAUUAUUUCAACUAAUUUAUAUGGAUUUGACGAGUAGGGGAUUCAAAAAUUUAGAACUUUCCCAGAUCCAAAAAUUUGGAACUUUCCCAGAUUCAAAAAUUCGGAACCUUCCCAGAACUAUAAAUCCAGGAUUUUACCGCAAGCAUAAACUCGAGAUUCUACCGGAUUCUAUGAUCUAGAAUGCAAGAAAACACUUACAGAAACAAAAAUCCAUAAAAAAAUCGGAUGUGCAGAUCCGAAAGCAAAGAAAUUAACUUAUCUUGAUUAAAAACACUCUAUAUCAGCAACAAAAAAUUCUGAGAUUGUAAGGAUAGCGAUUUGUAGGUGCGACUGCUGCUAGAAAAUGAAACCCACGGCUGUGCACUGAGAGAAUCAUUGCCUGUGCCUCUUUAGGGUUUUUUUAGGUGAAGGGUAUUUUUAGAAUUUUAAAAACUAUUAAGGACGAUUUAGUCUUUGCAUAAGAGUGUGGGGGUGCAGGAAGCAAUUGUCUAUGGGUGGUCCAAUAACGGCCCGAUAGCGGGUGGCAUGAUAGGUCCAACAAACGUUUGUUAUGAUAGACUUUAAAUGACUCUGAUAUCAUAUUACGAAGUGAACUUUAAACCUAACUCAACCCCAUAAAACCGGCUCAUGAAGUGGAAUUUGCACCCACUUAUAUAAAAUGAAAUGAUAUAAUAUCUAGUUGAUGUAGGAUCUUUAACAUACUCCCACACGCAUUUGUUCUGGAUUUCUUCGUCCUCACUCAUGUUUCAGACAUACAUAAGACACUGACAAUAAGACACUGACACUAAAACACCUAUAAUUUUUAAAAUUUAAACAUAAAAUAUAAAUUUAUAUAUUAUAUUAUUAUGAAUUAUAUAAAUUUCCUAGUACAAAAUUUAUAUCAACAAGUAUACGCUAAGAUUUUUUUUUAUGAUUGAUUAAAAGAAAUUUUUUUCUGACACAGACUGCAUGAAAAGAAAAACGUAUCCGAGCUUCGUAUUAGUAAUAGAACAACAUAGUUUUGAAGAAAAUUUCUGACUACAAUUUAGAGACUCCGAAAUAGUGAGAGAAAAGUAAACUUUUAAGACAGUUUGAUAACUAAUUUCACUGUUGAUUAACUAAACAAUAUAAAAGAUUUGAUUGAACCCAAAAAUGGACUCGUAGUUUUGUUGCAUGUAUAAGCUUAAGUUUCCAUUUUUAUAUACUUUGAAGUCUGAAAUAAUUAAGUUGAUAAAGUAAUGAUGAGUACCAGUGAAGAUGAUUCCAGGGCUGACUCCAGGUAUGGUGAAUGCCACGGAAGAGAUUUGAGUAAUCUUGCAACACAGUUAGAGCACACUUUGAGUUCCCAGUUUGGGCAAGUUUCAAUCCACCACCACUUGGGCCAAAGAUUGCUGGAAAGAUGUAGUAUGUGAAACCUCUGAAAAUGGGGUUCCCAUUUGUGUCCACAAUUGGCUGAACAUUUGAGAAAGCUAAGGGAAGGUUGGUGAGGAAAGCGAGGAGAAGGAGGAGGAAGAAGAGGGCAAGAACUGCUGUGGGUUUCAUGGUUGAUUUAGUGGAUGAUGGUGCUGUUGCAGAUGUUCUGCUUCUGUUUUGGUUUUGGUUCUUUAUAUAGAUACAAAGAUGCUGCUAUAGCACCAAGUGUUUGUGUUGGAAUGAGUUAUUUUGAUAGUUUUUUCUUAAAUAGCAUUAUUAAAAGAAAAUUAUCUAAAUAGUAUAUUACUCAUCAUAUUUAUCUAAAUAAUAAUAUGAUUUACUAUUGAUGUCAGGUUUCUCAAAAAAAUUGAAGUCUAACUUAAUUUUUUCAAUUUUUAAAAAAAAAAUUAUGAAAACAUUAAAAUUGUAAUGAUAAUAUAAUUAAAUUUUAUGACAUUAUUAUAUUUAAAAUUUAUUUUUUAAUAAUUUAAAUAAUUUAUUAAAUAUAAUUAAUAUUGAUCUCUUGUUUAAAAAUAUGAUUUUUUAUCAGUAAGAAAUAAUAAAUAAAUAUGGAUCACUUCAGAAGUGAUCCAACCCUUAUACAAAAAUAAAAAGAAAAAUAAGAUAAACCCUUAUGUCCUAACCUAAACCAAUUUUUCAACAAAAGCUAUCGACUAAUUCAAAACUCAAGUAUAUCACUUACACAGGAACCCAUCCUUGACAAUCGUUAGAGUAUACCAACACAUCAAAAUUUAAAAAAAAAAACAUAAAACAAAAACAAACUGUGAAACAUAAAUUUCCAAUAAUUAGAGGAACUUAAAAGACCUCUCUUUACAACUAACACAACAAUGGUGUACCCCCACUACUUAAAAAAAACAAAGAUAAUCCUUUUCACAUCACAAAAGCUCCUCCUUAUUGUCACUUAAUUCAAAGACCAAGACAGAACCUCUAAACGAAGUUUAAGACCAAUCUGCAAAGCACUCAACUUCCUUCUUCUUAAAAAGAAGUUAGAGAGAUAACGCAAGGAAAAAUAAACAAAUUUAAUUCACAGUUCUCAUACAUACCAAAUGUUCUAAACACCAAUCAAAAUAAGAGAAUUCUACCUUUUUCUUUACUGUUAACAAAGCCUGGUUUUUUCUUUGAGCCACAGUAAACACCUCUAUAUGGUCAACUCUCCCAUUAUUAAAAACACACCUAUUCUGAUGAUUCCAAAUUUCACCUAUAAUUUCAAUCCUCACCACUCUCCAAAUUAUGACAAUUUGGCCAUUAACAUUUAGAGGGCUGAACAAGAUGAAGUGUACCUUUGCAUCAUAGUGGUUUACCGAUAAACAACUCAAUCAAGACAAGCACAAACCCCAAAUUUUCUACCCAAUUUUACACUUAAAAAAAUAAAUGACAAAGAAUCUCCUCUUUCUCACCACACAACCCACACAAGCAACUUACCUUUGAGACUCCUUUUCUCAUAAGAUUAUCCUUUGUUGUUAUGCUAUUAUUCAACACCUUCCAAGCAGUGAUUUGUGCAGAGGGAAGAACUUUACCUUCCAGAACUUUUCAAAUUGAGCCCUAUCUUCACCUUCCACCACUACUGCAAGUAUACUAAUUAGAUAAAAACAAAGUUGACUGAGUUAUUUUGAUAUAAUAACUACACGAAGAGAGUAUACAAAAUUGAAAUUUUUAUAUUGAGGUAUUUUUAUGAUUUUAUUUAUUUUAAAGUUAAAUAUAUUUUUUAUGCAUAAUUAAUUUUUUACUUUUGUUCGAACUUUAGACCAUUCAGAUAUUUAUAGUAUGAAAAUAAUACGAAUAGGUUUUAUAUGUAAAAUAAUUGUUAUUUUUUUCAAAAAUAUUGUUAGUUUUUUUUCGAAAUUCGAUGUUGUUUUGAUUGAAGAUUAAUAUUUAAUAUAAUUAUUUUAAAUAAAUUGAUAAAGUAGAAAUUUAAAUUGAAUCAGUUUUAUAUAAAGAAAUUACGUAUUUCAAUCAGUUUUAUACUAUAAACAUAUUUGUAGUCUAAAGUUUAGACUAAAUAAAAAAUCAAUUUGGUAGGUACACAAUCUUAAAUUAUAAUAUUAAAGCUCGUGCCGAGGAAUAUUUUAUGUUUCCCGUGUAACAGGACCUUCUAUAUAUUUAAAAUAGGGUCAAGAUAUUGUUUCUCUCUAAUAAAAUAUUAUGUUAAACUGCAUAAUAAAAUCCCAUAUUAAAAUGAUAAAAAUAUUUGAAAAUUAAAAAACCAGAAAGUCAUAAAUUAUUUAUCUGAAAUUUAAAAAGACAAAUUAAUUAAAAUAUAACUCUAAUAUCUAAUAUUCAACAUUAUCGUAACUUCACAAAAAUAAAUCAAUUUAAUCCUUUAUCAUAUAAAUUAGAUUUUCUACCAAAAUGUUUUCCUACCGAUUUAUUAUUAAUUUUGUUAAUAAUUUCAAAUGUUAAUAAUUAAAAACAUAUAGAAAAAAAAUUCUGAAUAUUAUAACAUGAAAUCAUUCAUGUAGAGGGAGGCAUCUAUUUCGUUUGUUGGGCUUGGUCCCUUAUUUUUUUUCCUAGUUGGUUAGGUUAUUUGUUUUUGCACCUCGAAAUUUUCAUACGCACUCCUAAAAAAUUUUAUAUUCCAAAUUUACCCUUUUGGUAAUAUAUAUAUAUAUAUAUAUAUAUAUAUAUAUAUAUAUUAGUGGAGGGCAUUUUUUGUUUUGGUAUUUUCUUGUUAUGACUUCUUUGAUGUUUUCACAUACUUCAUGGUUGUGGUAUACUUGGUGGUGUUAUUGGGAAGUGUAGAGUGCAUUGAGUUACUAGGGAAGUGAAGAUAAUAUUGAGAGGGAAUGUAAGUUUCUCUUUUGUUUUGCUGAUUUUUUUUCUCUCUAGUUAAUGAUUUUGAAUUUAACUUCUCAAUCCGAAGAUUUCUUGAAUUACAUCUGGAGAAUAUAUUUAUAUAUAUAUAUAUAUAUAUUUAUUGUCCAAUUCGAAAGUGAAAAUAUUUUUUUGGAUUGUAUAAUUUAAGAGUCAAAUUUUGUUUAUGUAUUGCACAAUCUGAAUACUAUAUUGAAUUAUGGAUUGUGUAAUUUAUAAGUUAAAUUUGGCUUCACAAUUGCACAAUCCAGAAUAAAAAUUUAAUCUUUGAGUUAUACGUUUUGCAAUACAAUCUAGAAGAACAAAUAUAUUAUAGAUUUUAUAAUCUGAAAUAUAAAUUUUACUUUUUGAUUACACAAUAUAGAAGUCUCAGUUGUUCAAUUUCUUAAAGUUUUUGUAUGUCCAUACUUAUGUUGUGUAAUAUAAGCACAUUAUUACAUUGUUUUGUGAGUACUCUUACGAUUACUUUUAUGGUGAGUGUUAAAAUGUCAGAUAAAGUGGAUAAGUUGUUUCACAUGGAUAAGCUUGACAAUUUGUUGUAAUAGAAGAUGCAUUGGUUAGAGGAGAUUGCAUUCAACCUUUUACAAUAAAUGAGUAAGUAAAAUUUUAUAUCAUUUGUGUAAAUAUGAUACAUGACAUAUGCUUAUGUUGUAAUAUAUUUGGUAUGUGAAAUGACUUAUUUGAAUUGGUGUGUAAAGUACCAUUUCGACUUGGUUUUGUAAUUAUCAUUUUGCAGUAUGAAAUAUCAAAUGGAAAAUUAAGAAAAAAAAUACAUGUGUGUUGUUAGUGAAAGAGGUGGAAGUAUAGGAGAUACAAAAACAAUUUACUAGUCAUUGUACCUAGUAUAAGAAAAUAUGAUUGUUCUUUUAAAUUGCAAGGUAAACAAAUUUGCAAUGGAGGAGGGCAGGUUUUGAAGACAAUAUGUGGGAGUCAUAAUCAUGAAUUGGUUGAUUCAUGAACUGGUUGGUUUGUUCAAAUUCUUAUGUAUCGAGUUGACAUUUAAAUAUAAUAUUAUGUUCUUGAUUGGUAAUUGGUAUUGUCAUUUUAUUUGUAAUGCUAGUUUAUCAUGAUUUUGAUUCUUAAAUUUGACUGAAAAGUACCUCUAAGUUUCUGACCUAAAUGAUAAUACUUAACAUAUUUGAAUGCUAGAAAGAAAUUUAAAAUGUUAAUUGCUAUCAACAUCUAAUCGUAAGAAUAAGGAGUUUUUAUAAAUAGGCGAAUAAUCGAUAUUUAGGAGACUAUUUUAAUAAUUUUAUAUGCGAGAAAACGAUAUGAAUGAAUUUUAUAUGGACAUCAAUAUCAAUCAAAUGAUAGAAUAUUAUUAUGCUUUUCAAAAUACAAAAGAGUGAGAAGGAUGAACCCCAAUGCCAAUUUUCCCAAUUGAAUAAACAACUUUUUACUUUGCUUUAUUUACAAUUCUUGCAAUCAUACACAACAAACAUCCUACAAACUUUUACUUAUUGUUUUCUAUUUAGUGAAUCUUAUACUUGAUAAUUCAAGUGUUCCUUAUGUGUUCGAUAUCUGUCCUUAGGGACAAAUUAUUACUCCUAACACGAUACACUUGCCGUAAAAUAAUCAUCACACUUUAAAUUUUAGUUUGUAUUAAAGAUUGCAAGGGUUUGUCUCUAAAUAUGUUUUGAUGAACAUUGUUGAAGAGUUUGAUCAUGUUAGACGUGUUGGUAUUGAUAGUGAAUGUCAUUGAGAUGUACUCAUGGUUUACCUUAUGCAUACGAAUUAGUGAAAUAUGACAUCGGUAGCAUACUAUUGAAUAUAGUGCAUGUUAUGUGGAUCAGAUUUAACUUUUUUUAUAGGUCAUCAUGCGAUUCAUCGUCCAGGUUAUCUAAUCAGUAGAAAUUGGACAUUUUUUAUAAUUGUUUUAAGGAAGUUGAAAUUGCAGGUGAAGUGACAAUUAAAGCAUUCCCAAAUCCAUAAUUGCAUUCUGGAUUUCACAAUUGAGAUUGUAUUUAAAUUUUGACAAAUACAUUCCAAAUUAUACAAUCUAGAACAUAAUUUUAGAUCAAAAAAUGACUUUCAAACUGUACAAUCCAAAAUUUUGGAUUAUGCAAUUAAAAAAUUCUCAAAAGAGACAUUCUGGAAUGAAAUUAAAUAACAACACUGAAUUGUAGUUUUAAAGAACUAACCUGAUAACACUAGCGCAACAAUGGGUGGCCAAGGUAGUUAUUGACAAUGAAUUUGGAACACUACAAGCGAAGAAAGUAGACAUGACCAUGACACCAUUAGUCGUCUAUGAGGGGAGAAGAAGCAGAGAAGAAGAGAAAAAGAAAAGGUAAAAAUAUAUGUCAUUAAGGACAUUUUGGUCUUUUUAGCAUCUUAUCGGGGUGUACUUGAAAAUUAUAGGAAGGCAAAAGGUAAUGUGGCCUAUGGUUAGUCUUUUAUUUUAGGUAAUGGAUAAUGAAGUUUUUGUUUUGACUACUUUUUCAUGCACCUCCAUACCUUCUUGAGUCACCCCAUACCAAAUGUAAAAAUAUUUUUUUAUCCUUUUGUGCCACCCCCAUACAUAAUCUGGAAGAUGUUUUUGAAUCUGGAAGUUUUGUUUAGAUUUAUGAAAUUCAGAAGUUUUUUAUGGAUUUGAGAUAAUCUUAUGUAUUAUGUAAUCCGAAAGCUAAUCACACAUUUGAAAAAAUACUUCUGGAUUACACAAUCCAGAAGCUAAUCUCAAUCCAAAAAAGACUUUCAGAUUAUAUAAUCCAGAAGCUAAUCAAGCAUUUGAAAAAAAAGCUUUCAAAUUACAUAAUCUGGAAGCUAAUUACAAAAGAUUUUUGGAUUACAUAAUCUGAAAUAUUAAAGCAGGAUAUUUUUGAAAUACAAAAAAUAUAUGGGGUGACACAAGAAAGUAUGGAGGUGCACGAAAAAACAUUCUUUUCUUUUUGAACUUUCUUAAACUCCAGUCUUGGCCUUUCUUCUGGCUCUUCUUCUGAUCCUUUUGUUCUUGAGUUAAUUAUAUAAAAAAUGAAAAAAAAGCCCAGAUUCUCUUUCAGUCUUUCUUAAUCUUAAUCUAAUGAGUAUUAGAACAAAUUAUUGUUGAUCACCAUCAGAUGUACCAGAUUCUUAGAAAGUAAAAUAUAAGGUUAAUUAAAUAUCACAAAAAUGAUUUAAUAAGAUAGCUUUUACAUUUUAAAUAUAUAAUAUAAUUUAAUUAUAUCACUAGUUAAAAUGUGAUAUUUUCGAAAUAAAUAAUAUUUUGAUUAUUAUGCUUUUAAUAAUAAUAAAAAAAAGAGCUCAACGAUUCCUCCAUUUCUUUAAGCGUCUUCAGAGAAACUUAUAAAUAUAAUAAAUUUUCUUGAUGUUAAUAAAAUAAUUAUAAGAUUUUCUAUUUUUUCUUUCUUCAUUUCUAUAUUACAAUACAUUUGUAAACUAAUUAAAUAUCUGAUGAAAAGUAAAGGUACAAUUAAUAAAAGAAUAAUUAAUGUUGACCGUGAAAAAGAAACAAAGAGAAUAUAUAUGAGUAGGUGUAAAACAUUUUCUCUAUUAAAAGACCGAAGAAAUUAAUGUUUUUAUGCUUAUUUUUUUGUAUUAUACUAUAAAAAAUAAUCUAUGUCUUGUUAAAUUAAUGAAAUUACAUAAUUUUUACCAUGAAAAAUAAAAUUAUAAUUAAUGAAAACUAAUUAAUGUUAUCUUCUAAUUGAUGAAAGAGCAAUUAAUGUGGCCCUCCCAAGGGAUUAUCUUACCUGGCCAAGAAUUUGUGAAAAGUGAAGAAAGAACCUUUUUCCACUUUAACUUCAAAUAUUUUGAUCAAAAUAUUUUUUACAAUUUUCCAAAAUCUCUUUUCUGAAAUAUAUUUUUUAGAUUUUUUUUAAAUAUGUAUUUUUUAUUAUGGAAUUGCGUCAAUUGUUUUCGAAUGGGAUUGAGGCUGAGAACGAUUCAAGUUGCUCUUUUAUCUGUUCGGUUGGUUGGUCGAUCAAGUCUUUUCUCCUUCCUCUCAAAGCGAUCUUCUUAGUCUCCUCUUUUAACUCUACCUCUCUGUCUUCACAAGUCCAGACUCGGAUAGUACUUGCAAAAGGUACUCCGACGCUCAAGUUAGAAUUGAGUAUUCGACACUCGGUAUUCUGAGCACGGUAUAUGAUGUACCUGAUUCUUGGAUUUUGUGUCUAUUUAUAUGGUUAUUAUGAGCAUUUUCUCAUUAGAUCAGAUUAUAAAGUAAAAUCAUGUUUAAGGAUAUAUUACCUAAUAUUUAACUGUUGAUUAACCUCAUUAAUUAUGCUUAAAUGUGAUGAGGUCGACUUAUCGAGACAUAAUAUUCGUUGUAGUACCCUACCGUACAUCAAAAGAUAAAAUACAAUUAAAUCAUUGUGUGAUGAAUAUAUUUGUUUAUGAUACUAGACUCACAACCCCCGUUAGAAGGAUAUCUAGGCCAACUUGAUUAAAUGACUACAUUUGAAGAAUCUCUUUCUUUUGUCUUUUGUGGGAUUAGAUUCCUAGGAUUUUAUGUUAUGUCUUUUUCAGUUUUAUUAGGACAAAUGACUUUUUAAAGGUAUUAUAUGUCACACUAGACUAGGAGACAGAGUAUGUUAUUGGUUCUGUUACUUUUUAUCCUAAAAGUUGUUUUUUUUUUGUUUCUGUCAUAUCUCUUUCCCAAGCUCUUUAUUUCCUAGUUUUCUUUACGUUCUUCCUCAUCCCCGCUCCAUCACUGUAUCACACAAGGACUACAAUCUUAUUAAGGUGAAGGAUAUCGUGAGGGAAAUAGCUUUGAAACCGUUAGAUUGCUUCCAUUUUAAAUCAAUGGUGGAUAAAUUUCAGUUCUUUAUAUAUUUUUAUUUCCUUCUUCUUCUUCUUUUCCCAUGGGCAAGUUUGAAAGAAAUAUCUGACACAAGAAAGCAUAGUCAUUGUCUCUUAUUCAUAUUCAGUCUCUGGACAAGAUUCUCUCUUACACUUGAUUCAAGCUACGGACUUAAUAACCUUAUCAGCUUCAAAAAGCUCCAUGAACCUUAAAUCGAAGGCUUCAUGCUCAGUGAGACUCAACCGUUUUCCCUCCUCACCGUUGUGUGCAUAAAACCUCCCAAUAUCAAGACAAGUUGGUGUCCCAGUGAUGCAGAACACAAACUUGUACGCAAACGGAUGAUAUUUCUCAAUAUGAAAUUUGCCAGCAUAAGUUUGUUGCCCGGGAUGGCCUUCGGCACCACCAACUCCCACACAUGCCUUCUGGAUUGCUUCGUCCAUAAACACCAACCACUUGGAGGAUUCUGAACACUCUGGCUUCUCCACGAACUCGAUUUCCAGUUCGGUACCUACACUCAUGUUUCCAAAAAAUUAAAUCAGUAACCUAUGCAACACACUCACACUUAAACACGUGUAAUCUUAAAUUGAUAAGGUGUUGAUGAGUACCAGUGAAGAUGAUUCCAGAGCUGUCUCCAGGUAUGGUGAAUUUCACAGGAAUGCCGCGGAAGUUUGCAAAGGGAUGUUGCAAGACAGUUAGAGCGCAGGGUGAGUUCCCAGAUUGACCAAGUUUCAAUCCACCAGCACGAGGGCCACGGAUUGAUGGUAUGAUGUAGUAUGUGAGACCUGGGCUAAUGGGGUUCCCACUUAUGUCCACAACUUGCUCAACAUCUGAGAAAGCUAAGGGAAGGUUGGUGAGGAAAGCAAGGAGAGGGAGGAGGAAGGAGAGGGCAAGAACUGCGUUGGGUUUCAUGGUUGAUUUAGUGGAUGAUG